GCACAAUUUUCUAUCAGCGCCACUUUUAACGGUAAAACUGAGAACAGUUGGUUUGCUAAAACAUAUUGGCUUAUAUGGAGAGUUAUAUAAAAUAAUUUGGUGAGAAAUUGGUAUUGCUUAAACCGGAGCAAACUUUUUUGAAAGAUAAAUAUCAGUGCCUUUGAUGUAUACAAGAAUUUACAAGCAUUUUAAACACCUAGAGAUUUCAUAAGAAAUAUUUUUUGUCAUUUUCCUAUAUAAGUUAUACAUUUUUGCAACCGUUUAGUUCCGAGGGCGGCCACCAAUUUAUGUAGAAUACGCGUAAAAUACCUCAACGCACAGAGCGAAUAAGUAACCUGUUGUCGUGUAGCUGUACCCGGUCAGGGAGUACGAGUGCUAUCCCUCUGUACGCAUCGCCUAUUGAUGUCUGCAUCGUGCAAUAGGCGUAGGACCCAUCGAUAGCAGACCGGCGUUAGUGGGAAACCAUAGAGCAACUUAGAUUAACCAUACAUUAAUUAGCCACGAGUAAUCGUGUAGAAUUGAGACCAAUCAGCAUCUGACGUGCCACGAAAGAGCCUCCAGUAUCCAGGUCACAAUAGAGAGCAAAUAUAUAAAUAUAUUGUAAGUUGAGUUCAAUUAUAUAAAAGCGUCAAACGUAAUUACAAAUAAACCACCGCACAACGCAAUAACAACAAUACUAUAAUAACCAAAAUAUACGAAACUGUAACAUUUGCUGAGUUCUGGGUUGUCUCCAAUAAAACAAAAAUAAUAAGAAUUAA